rnacentral:lncRNA from 1 species
UCUCUUGGUAUCCUCAUAUAUAUGCUAGGGAUCUUUUGGUAUCCCGACAAUCUCUUGGUAUCCUCAAUAUAUACUAGGGAUCUCUUGGUAUCCUAAGGAUCUCUUAGUAUCCUCAAUAUAUGUGUUGGAGUUCUCUCAGUAUCCUACACUUGAAAUAAAAAAUACAUACAGGGGAUCUCCCAGAAUAUCAACCCGUAGUCCCAAAAUAAAGCACACAGCAAUCACACAAAGAAUACUCAAUUAAAAUCAACUUCAUACCA